rnacentral:tRNA from 1 species
GCCCGGGUGGCGGAAAUGGUAGACGCGCGGGACUUAAAAUCCCGUUUCGCUUGCGAAGUGCGGGUUCAAUUCCCGCCCCGGGCACCA